rnacentral:rRNA from 1 species
GGAGGAUCAUUAUCGUAGGGCUUCGGCCCUGUCGAGAUAGAACCCUUGCCUUUUUGAGUACCUUUCGUUUCCUCGGCAGGCUCGCCUGCCAAUGGGGACCACAAAAAACACUUUGCGGUACCUGUAACAGUCUGAACAAACAAAACAAAAAUUAAAACUUUCAACAACGGAUCUCUUGGUUCUGGCAUCGAUGAAGAACGCAGCGAAAUGCGAUAAGUAGUGUGAAUUGCAGAAUUCAGUGUAUCAUCGAAUCUUUGAACGCACAUUGCGCCCUUUGGUAUUCCUUAGGGCAUGCCUGUUCGAGCGUCAUUUAAACCUUCAAGCUAAGCUUGGUGUUGGGUGACUGUCCGCUUCACUGCGGACUCGCCUCAAAAUUAUUGGCGGCCGGUACAUUGGCUUCGAGCGCAGCAGAAACGCGAACUCGGGCCCGUCGCAUCGGCUCCCAGAAGCUAUCUUCACAAUUUUGACCUCGGAUCAGGUAGGGAUACCCGCUGAACUUAAGCAUAUCAAUAAGCGGAGGA